AGAGUUUGAUCCUGGCUCAGGACGAACGCUGGCGGCGUGCUUAAUGAAUGCGAGUCGUACGAGAAGCAGGGAGCAGAUCCUUCGGGUGACGCACCCUGUGGAGAGUGGCAAACGGGUGAGUAACACGUGGGUAACCUGCCUCCAAGACGGAAAUAACACAGGGAAACCUGUGCUAAUGUCCGAUGGUCUACCGGUACGAAGGUACUGGAUAGUAAAAGCUUUUGCGCUUGGAGAUGGGCCCGCGGCCCAUUAGCUUGUUGGUGAGGUAACGGCUCACCAAGGCAACAAUGGGUAGCCGGUCUGAGAGGAUGGUCGGCCACACUGGGACUGAGACAUGGUCCAGACUCCUACGGGAGUUAGCAUCAGGGAAUCUUGCGCAAUGGACGAAAGUCUGACGCAGCGACGCCGCGUGUGGGAUGAAGGCCUUCGGGUUGUAAACCACUGUCAGAAGGGACGAACACCGCGUCUUUGACGCGGCUUGACUGUACCUUCAGAGGAAGCCCCGGCUAACUACGUGCCAGCAGCCGCGGUAAAACGUAGGGGGCAAGCGUUGUCCGGAAUUACUGGGCGUACAGAGCGCGUAGGCGGUCUGCCAAGCGGAGGGUGAAAUUCCGAAGCUCAACUUCGGAACUGCUUUCCGAACUGGUGGACUAGAGUACGGGAGAGGGUAGUGGAAUUCCUGGUGUAGCGGUGGAAUGCGUAAAUAUCAGGAGGAACACCAGUGGCGAAGGCUGCUGCCUGGAACGUUACUGACGCUGAGGCGCGAAAGCUAGGGGAGCGAACGGGAUUAGAUACCCCGGUAGUCCUAGCCGUAAACGAUGGACACUAGGUGUUGGAGGAUCGACCCCUUCAGUGCUGUUCUGUUAACGCGUUAAGUGUCCCGCCUGGGGAGUACGGCCGCAAGGCUAAAACUCAAAGGAAUUGACGGGGGCCCGCACAAGCGGUGGAGCAUGUUGGUUAAUUGGAUGAUACGCCAAGAACCUUGCCAGGGCUUGACAUGUCGCUGACGACCUGGGAAACCAGGUGUUCCGCUUCGGCGGACAGCGUCACAGGUGGUGCAUGGUUGUCGACAGCUCGUGUCGUGAGAUGUUGGGUUAAGUCCCGCAACGAGCGCAACCCUCGCCGAAUGUUGCCAGCGGGUAAAGCCGGGGACUCUUUCGGGACUGCCUGAGUAAUCAGGAGGAAGGAGAGGACGACGUCAAAUCGGCAUGCCCCUUAUGCUCUGGGCUGCAAACGUGCUACAAUGGUCGGUACAGUGGGAAGCGAAGCCGCGAGGUGUAGCUAAUCCCCAAAACCGGUCUCAGUUCGGAUUGGGAGUCUGCAACUCGACCCCAUGAAGCUGGAAUCGGUAGUAAUCGCGGGUCAGCCAUACCGCGGUGAAUACGUACUUGGGCCUUGUACACACCGCCCGUCACACCAACCGAGUAGGCGACACCCGAAGUCGACGUAUGUUGCCCAAGGUGUUACCUGCAAGGGGGGUGAAGUCGUAACAAGGUAACC
rnacentral:rRNA from 1 species